rnacentral:rRNA from 1 species
UUGAAAGGGAAACGAUUGAAGUCAGUCGUACCAGCGGGAAAUCAACCUUUCGAGUGGGGGUUUUGGAGUUUUGAAGAGUGUCAAAACCUUUGAGAUUUCGAAAUUUUCGCUCCUUUGGUGUACUUUCUCGUGGGUAGGUUAACAUCGAUUUUGAUCAUCAUAAAAAGAUUGGAGGAAUGUAGCUUCGAUCUUGUAUUGAAGUGUUAUAGCCUUUGGUAAAUGUGAUGAUUAGGAUCGAGGAUUGCAACGAAUACCCUUUUGGGCUAUCCGCCUGAUCUCUGAUACGUGGCCUUGGUAUCGAAAGCUUGCUUNNNNNNUNNNGGUAUUACGGUCAAAAGGUUAGAACGGAUUNCAUUCGUUAAGGAUGUUGACGUA